AAGCUCGUAGUUGAAUUUCGGGCCUGGCUGGGUGGUCUUGCCGCAAGGUAAGCACUGCUCUGGUCGGGUCUUUCCUUCUGGGGAGCCAGCGUGCUCUUAACUGAGUGCGUUGGGGAUCCAGGACUUUUACUUUAAAAAAAUUAGAGUGUUUAAAGCAGGCUCGCGCUUGAAUACAUUAGCAUGGAAUAAUGAAAUAGGACGUUGAUCCUAUUUUGUUGGUUUCUAGGAUUGACGUAAUGAUUAAUAGGGAUAGUUGAG
rnacentral:rRNA from 1 species